rnacentral:lncRNA from 1 species
CCUGAGCCUAGCCGGCAAACUUUUAGUAGACAGAGAGUGCUGACGAGACGACACUUCCCGUGUCCGUUACAUAAUAAAUGGCGCCCAACGUGGGGCCCGAAUGGUCCGUUUUCCCCAAUAACCUUCCCCAAUCCCUUCCGCAACCCAAUAUUGAUCCAAAUUUUAAAGUAGUUCAGUUUUUUUGUUAUAUAUCCAGCUCGGAACCGCUGGGAAUCUGAUCAUUGUCGGACCCAGACCAGUGGAUGUAUUGCAUAGAAGAAGAUCACAGUAGACUUCAUUAUAUCAUUUCAUCAGGAUACUAGGAACGAUAGUUCUGAGUAAAUUGGUUCUAUACCUAGUAGCGAAGAUGAAUGACCUUUAUUCUCUCGAGAUUAGUUGAGACUUGUUCAGACUGGAGAAUUCGGUCCUGUUCCUCCUUUUCUCGAAAGGAUCAUCAACCAAAUUUUCUUUUCUUUCUUUCUGCUUACGGACUUAAGGUUAUAACAACCGAAGACAUUCCUUCUGCUGUGCUGGUGCCUGGUAGGAGACCCUCCCAAUCAUUGCCCAUAUUUUCGAAUUUAGAAUCAAACAAAAAAAAAAAUCUUUCUGGUCUUAAAGACCAUAUCGUUAUAUAACUUAUAUAGUUUUUCCUUAAUCAUAAUUUUUUUCAAUGGCGGUAAGGCGAAGUAUUGACAAUAUAAAUGUUAAUCUCGGCGAGGUAGUCGUACACUGCACUAUAUGCAAUGAUACUAGCCAGGACACCGACAUUGUAGAAACCCAUUGCAAACACAAAUACCACAGGUCGUGUUUAUCGGAUUGGUUGACAUCCAAUGAGACAUGCCCGAUUUGUAGGCAGCUGUGUUCGUUACCGUUGCGUUCACAAUCUCAAUCGAAUUUACAGAGUGGGGAAAAUGCCGCGGCGAAUUUGUCGUACACCGGAGCAAUUCCGAAAAAUCGUCCUAAAACAAGGUCACAGGUACGAAAUACCCCAAAAGCCUCAAGUGCACGACUUAACCCUCGACCAGGACCUGGCCAGACUAUACGUGCUCAGGAAUCCAAUGUUCUUUCCGAAGGAAAUAUCCAACGACUUAUUUCAGAGUCCAUGACUAAAUUUCAGGAAAAUAUGACCGCAGUUAUUUCAGAGAAGAUAACAACGGAGUUGAGGAAUCUGAACUUGACAAAUGUUUCUAGGAACUUCCGGGAGGAGCCCCAGCUUGAAUGGGAGAGUGAUAUUGCUCCAUCCUUCCCUCGAAUGAGCAGCGCUAGUAAUCUUCGUAACCAUAGUUACAGGCCACGCCCAUCUAGUGCUCGUGCGAAUUUCACAGACCUUCCUAGUGAAUCUCCUGAUAAGAUCUCAAAUAUCAUUUCCAAGUGGCGUAUAAAAUUCAGUGGAUCUUCCAAAGAUAUUCCCAAGAUUUUAUUUAUAGAGUGAAUUGUCUUACCAAUAAUUGUUUAAAUGGAAACUUUACCUUACUGGCGCAGUUCGCCAGUCUCUUAUUUACUGAUUCAGCCUUGUCAUUUUACUGGCGUGUUCAUAUGACCACAAAUAACCUUGACUGGUAUGAGUUAUGCAGCCGGUUGCAAGAGAUAUACCAGGAUCAACGUUCGGAUCGAGAGAUCAAAGCAGCCAUGCGUAGGCGUAAACACGGUAGUAAUGAAAGCUUUGACGAUUUUCUAGAUGCGAUGCUAUCUAUCGCAGACUCUUUACGAGAGCCUAUGCAGGACGGUGACGUCACCAUAGAGGUUCGCGAGAAUUUAAAGUCGGAACUGAAGCUCGACUUGCUUCAUAUCGAAACUCCAGAUUUGGCAACCUUACGCAAGGAGUGUCACAAGCACGAGGAAUU